UGGGGAAUAUUGCACAAUGGGCGCAAGCCUGAUGCAGCCAUGCCGCGUGUAUGAAGAAGGCCUUCGGGUUGUAAAGUACUUUCAGCGGGGAGGAAGGUGUUGUGGUUAUUAACCACAGCAAUUGACGUUACCCGCAGAAGAAGCACCGGCUAACUCCGUGCCAGCAGCCGCGGUAAUACGGAGGGUGCAAGCGUUAAUCGGAAUUACUGGGCGUAAAGCGCACGCAGGCGGUCUGUCAAGUCGGAUGUGAAAUCCCCGGGCUCAACCUGGGAACUGCAUCCGAAACUGGCAGGCUUGAGUCUUGUAGAGGGGGGUAGAAUUCCAGGUGUAGCGGUGAAAUGCGUAGAGAUCUGGAGGAAUACCGGUGGCGAAGGCGGCCCCCUGGACAAAGACUGACGCUCAGGUGCGAAAGCGUGGGGAGCAAACA
rnacentral:rRNA from 1 species